AAUGACACGUUUUCUCCCGGAUUGCCAAACAUAAUAAGCCACCGGGAAUUUCGUGUCAGCA
rnacentral:miRNA from 1 species